rnacentral:rRNA from 1 species
GUGGUAAUGCCGGAUGCUCCAUCACAUCGCAUGGUGUGUUGGGAAAGCCUUUGCGGCAUGGGAUGGGGUCGCGUCCUAUCAGCUUGAUGGCGGGGUAACGGCCCACCAUGGCUUCGACGGGUAGCCGGCCUGAGAGGGCGACCGGCCACAUUGGGACUGAGAUACGGCCCAGACUCCUACGGGAGGCAGCAGUGGGGAAUAUUGCACAAUGGGCGCAAGCCUGAUGCAGCGACGCCGCGUGAGGGAUGGAGGCCUUCGGGUUGUAAACCUCUUUUGUUAGGGAGCAAGGCAUUUUGUGUUGAGUGUACCUUUCGAAUAAGCACCGGCUAACUACGUGCCAGCAGCCGCGGUAAUACGUAGGGUGCAAGCGUUAUCCGGAAUUAUUGGGCGUAAAGGGCUCGUAGGCGGUUCGUCGCGUCCGGUGUGAAAGUCCAUCGCUUAACGGUGGAUCCGCGCCGGGUACGGGCGGGCUUGAGUGCGGUAGGGGAGACUGGAAUUCCCGGUGUAACGGUGGAAUGUGUAG